AGUGAACGCUGGCGGUAGGCCUAACACAUGCAAGUCGAACGGCAGCACCGUAAGAGCUUGCUCUUACGGGUGGCGAGUGGCGGACGGGGGAGGAAUACAUCGGACUCUACUUUUUCGUGGGGGAUAACGUAGGGAAACUUACGCUAAUACCGCAUACGACCUACGGGGGAAAGCAGGGGAUCUUCGGACCUUGCGCGAUGGGAUGAGCCGAUGUCGGAGUAGCUAGUUGGCGGGGUAAAGGCCCACCAAGGCGACGAUCCGUAGCUGGUAUGAGAGGAUGAUCCGCCACACUGGCAGUGAGACACGGCCCAGACUCCUACGGUGGGCAGCAGUGCGGACUCUUGGACAAUGCGCGCGAGCCUGAUCCAGCCAUACCGCGUGGGUGAAGAGGGCCUUCGGGUUGUAAAGUCAUUUUGUUGGGAAAGAAAAGCAGCAGGUUAAUACCCCGCUGUUCUGACGGUACCCAAAGAAUAAGCACCGGCUAACUUCGUG
rnacentral:rRNA from 1 species